rnacentral:tRNA from 1 species
GGGCGAUUAGCUCAGUUGGCUAGAGCACUACCUUGACAUGGUAGGGGUCGAAGGUUCAAGUCCUUUAUCGCCCA